rnacentral:rRNA from 1 species
UGGGGAAUAUUGCACAAUGGGCGAAAGCCUGAUGCAGCAACGCCGCGUGAGUGAUGAAGGCCUUCGGGUUGUAAAGCUCUGUCUUUUGGGACGAUAAUGACGGUACCAAAGGAGGAAGCCACGGCUAACUACGUGCCAGCAGCCGCGGUAAUACGUAGGUGGCAAGCGUUGUCCGGAUUUACUGGGCGUAAAGGAUGCGUAGGCGGAUUUUUAAGUGAGAUGUGAAAUACCCGGGCUUAACUUGGGUGCUGCAUUUCAAACUGGGAAUCUAGAGUGCGGGAGAGGAGAAUGGAAUUCCUAGUGUAGCGGUGAAAUGCGUAGAGAUUAGGAAGAACACCAGUGGCGAAGGCGACUCUCUGGACCGUAACUGACGCUGAGGCAUGAAAGCGUGGGUAGCAAACAGGAUUAGAUACCCUGGUAGUCCACGCCGUAAACGAUGAGUACUAGGUGUAGGAGGUAUCGACCCCUUCUGUGCCGCAGUUAACACAAUAAGUACUCCGCCUGGGAAGUACGAUCGCAAGAUUAAAACUUAAAUGAAUUGACGGGGUCAUAGCUGUUUCCU